CAGAUUAGAGCUUGGGGAGUUAAGUAUUUCAUUUACAUUGAAAAAGGAUUGUGCAAAUCAAUAUAAUUUGA
rnacentral:tRNA from 1 species